UGUGCCAGGGUCACGCAGAGUAGUAGUGUUCAUCCGGACACAUCCGUGAAAUAUACUAAUUUCACUUCUAUAACUGAAAGACUGAAAGACAAGGUAGAUUAGGUACAUAUUAUGUACAGUUUAUGGACUUUAAAACUAAAAAGAUGAAGUCACCCUUUAGAUUUUAACGCUCUCUGUGCCAUAAACGUUGUAGCCUUCACGAACUCUAUCAAGGCCACAGUCAUCGCCAGGCCCAGCCCUCCAACCAAAAUAUAGAAGACCCCUGCCACGUUGCUCAGGCUCAGCGCGCUUGUCUUGUCCUAGGGAAGGCAAAAUGAAGCAGUUCAAUUUCAUUAAGAAACUACAGGAGAUGAUGUCUCACAAAAACCAAUAAAGACAAAGACUUCAUAGCAAUCAAUCAGGUCCUCAGCACUCUCGAUGGGGGAAACCAUCCUCUCCACUGUGAGGAACGCAGCCAAGUUGGCGGUGUAGGAGGAGAUGAUGAUGAGGGUGAAGAACCACCACACUCCUCCAACAAUCCGGCCUGAGAGGGACCUGGAGGACCAAGCACAGCACGCAAAGCCCCUCAGCAUGGUGGAUAUAAGUUAUUUUGUGGAUGCAAGGCAUCUCAGCAAGCAUGCAGCUUAACAACAAAUGGAUGCAGACUGCAGAGGAGCAAGGAGGUUGCAAAAGUGGGACAUGUGAGAGGGACCGCAGCAGAAGCCAGAAAACUCAAAAAUAACUAAUAUGCACCAUGGCAGGAUGAAGUGGUCCAUAAAGGACUAUAAAAUGCAGUGAGAUGAUGAGGACAGCUGACAAAUGGUGGAGAAUGGACACAAAAAUAACCAACCUUGGUGAGAUAUCGCAUCCUUGCUGCAUGAAGGCGCCCAGGGAGAACCACAGGCUAUUAAAAAUCCCAAAGUCAUUUGGAGGGUCUGGGGGGCU